GCAAACUUGGUCAUUUAGAGGAAGUAAAAGUCGUAACAAGGUUUCCGUAGGUGAACCUGCGGAAGGAUCAUUACUGAGGAGGGUCCAUGGCCCGAUCUCCAACCCUUUGAUAAAAACACCAUGUUGCUUUGGCAGGCCCGCCCGUUGGGGCCGCGGGGGAUCGCCGGUCCCUAGCCCGUGCCUGCCGGUAGCCUUCACAAAACUCUCAAAAUGUUGUCUGAGAUGAUUAGAAUAAUAAAACUUUCAACAACGGAUCUCUUGGCUCUGGCAUCGAUGAAGAACGCAGC
rnacentral:misc_RNA from 1 species